rnacentral:rRNA from 1 species
GUUGAACGCUGGCGGCAUGCCUUACACAUGCAAGUCGAACGGCAGCGCGGGGCAACCUGGCGGCGAGUGGCGAACGGGUGAGUAAUAUAUCGGAACAUACCCUAGAGUGGGGGAUAACGUAGCGAAAGUUACGCUAAUACCGCAUAUGCACUAAGGUGGAAAGUGGGGGAUUCGCAAGAACCUCAUGCUCAUGGAGUGGCCGAUAUCUGAUUAGCUAGUUGGUGAGGUAAAGGCUCACCAAGGCGACGAUCAGUAGCUGGUUUGAGAGAACGACCAGCCACACUGGAACUGAGACACGGUCCAGACUCCUACGGGAGGCAGCAGUGGGGAAUUUUGGGACAAUGGGGGCAACCCUGAUCCAGCAAUGCCGCGUGAGUGAAGAAGGCCUUCGGGUUGGUAAAGCUCUUUUGUUCAGGGAAGAAACGGUAGA